AAAAAAAAAAGACAAAUUAUGGUACAUCACUCAAUACUACACCCCAAUGCAUACUCAGAUUUAAAAAUUUAAGAUAAAUGGGUUUUAUUAGAGCAACGGCUUCUAUUCUUUGUCCUCUGUGAAUAUUUCCCUAAUACUUAGAUAAAGUAGGAUGUUUCACAAUUCUUUGCCAUGCCGUGCUGUGAAAUGUUUGGCUGUUGUCCUUAGAAUCUGGUAAUGUCAAUCACAUUUUUGUUCUUACCUAGGGCUCAAUUUUUAAUGCCACAUGAGGCAGCAUCCUGACAAGGAGAAGACCUAAUGGCAGAGCUGUAGUUUCAAAUACUCCAACAGGUUCAUUUAGACAUACUAUUACACAAUGACCUAGUUUAGAGCUGUCAUGGGGUGGCAAUUAAUCUUUGUCACUCCAUACUCAUUCUAGAAGCACCUGAAGCCUAAAGAACUCCCUGGAGCCACAUCCCUUCCUGCCAGCUUUCUGUGGAGGGGUUCAGUUCUGCUCCAGAGCACAUUUACUCGCUUCAGUAGCCCUGAACACCUUCAGGGUCCCUAGAUGAAGGCAAAUCUCAGUACAAGAGCAAUAAAAAUAUGAAUCACAAAAUGUAAUCCACUGAGUUUACACACCCCCAAAGUUGAUGGGAGAUUAAUUUAUUUUGAAAUCUGCAUCAGCCAGUCAUUUGUAGCUCCCAGUUAUUCAGGCAGUACAUUUCCUUCCCCUACCGACUCAUAAGUAUUUUUCAUGGGUCAUAUUUUCACCAAAUCUCAAUUCUUUUCAGCUGUUGACUUCUGCUCAGAGCAGCAGGUGCCUGGAUAACUCUUCACACAUGCUGCUCUGGUUGUUGGGUGCUGACAUCCCUGCAGCUUCUAUUUUUCUGGAUGAGCUUCCCUCUAUAUGGGCAACUCCACCUCCUUUGGCUUUUGUCUCUGCAUCAUCUACAAAUACCGUCUGGCCCAGGAGGCCCCUAAAACAGCUUCUUACACCUGACCCAUGGGAUACAUAUGAAUGCAUUGCAGUUGGGCCUCUUCCAACUCUUUAGUCAAGUCACUAGAAAUGUUUCCUUGAAAUGCUGCAUCUGGUCUAAAUGACUCACCCUGAGGCUGGGAAUUCACAGCUGAUGCCUUUAAAAAAACACCCUAAAUUUCUGCCUCAGUGCUUACAGCUCUGUUGCUAACUAUCUUCUGCAGCUAACAAACUAUGAGUUGUCUUUGUGCAAACUCUUUUCAAAGUAAAUGUUAACACAAAAGACUCUAAUAGUCUCCCACUGAGCACACAGUCUCGGAGUAUUACUCACUCUAAAUUCAAUACACAAAGUUCUGCCUCCUUAAAGCUAUCUUCUGACCAGGAGAGGGAAACCCCCAGCAAAGCUUCCUCAAUGCAAGUAGCCACCCUGUAAAGGCUGCCCUUUUGCUGCCCUUUUUACUGUAUAGUCGCAAGCUCCAAGGAGACACAUUUCUGCAUUUUUCCUUCCUGCACAUCAAGAAAAGAUUUAUAAGACUUUGCUCUGCAAGAUGGUCAGCCUACACAUGAAAAAUUUUGACAAAGACUUUUGGCCUUGACACACUGUCAAGAUGCAGUCUUGCUUUCCCUCUCCCUUCAGCUCAGUGACUGGAAGGCCCUCCUACUCAAGGCCAACAAAUUUCUCUUUAGAAGGUGCUUUUCCUAUUUUGAGCCCACUGCUUAAGUCCAAAGUACACCAUGGACUCCAGGGGAAGGCGCAGCACGGAGAUCAGCAGUGCCCUCCUUUACUGCCUCUGGCCUCAGAGGCAGCAAUUACAGUAUAAAGCUGCAUAGCUUGUUAUUAAUAAAAUACUGCACCAUCUUUUGGAGGAAAUGCUGUCUGGCCUAAUAUUUUUAAACUACUUAUCCCCUCACUUGUCUAGGAGAGAGUAGGCAGUGGGUGUUGCAACCUGGAGGCAACUGAGUUGCUAGAAAGGUAAUGGCUGAGUUAAAGACCUGCUCAGGUUUUUACAGAGGAAGGCUUAAGUCAAGUCAGGGCAAUGAUGGGAGACUUACAAGAGUCUUCUAAACCUGAAUCUGACCCCUGAACUGUGAGUAUCCUGCAGAGUAUUGCUUUUAGGUGACCAGGCUUGCUGCUAAUACGCUUUUCUCAGUAGGCAAACAGUAACCAAGGCAGUUUGCCAAACUGCCUUGACCUCUUUAUUAGAAUGAAAGAAUAUUGACUCAUACAUCUGCCAAUUUGUUUGCUGUGUGGUCAAAGAUUCAUUGGGUGAUCUAAGGCACUGAUCCAGGUGGGCUACCAAUACCUUUUGUAUUGGCAAUAAAAUAUUUGUUUAAGUCUUUGUCUCAAGUAAAAUAGAUGUUCUUAUGAAGAUUAACAUUAGAAUUGUACUUAAUGGUGGUUUUGCUAUCUUUUUUUACUUCUUCACAGGAAAGAAAGACCUAGAAUAAUUUCUUAUUGUGGCAGUAAAAUUUCAUUUAACUUUCUCAGCUCUUUAUUGUAGAAUUACUCCCAUAUAGCACUAUGGCUGAUGUGUAAAGGUAAACAGCAUUAUUUUAUUUUUUCUGUGACUUACUGAACAUAAGUCCACAUUUAUUCAGACUUUGUGGAGCACAGUGAUGUGUAGGAAAAUUAUAGUUACCAGGCAAAUGAAUAUUUUAGUUCAUUUAAUUUAUGUUUAUCUACCUCUAAAAUAAAAUGCAGACAUAUGGGGCAAAAGUCUUGUCUGAUGCCUAUGGCUUGUGAUCUAAGAUUCGCAGGCAGUAGACAGACUUUUUAUUCCUUUAUGUCUAUGGGAGAACUAGAGUUAUUAAUGCUGGUAAAAUAACAGCUGCUGAAUGUUAUUUCCAUAUGACCUAACAACUAUAGCACAUGCCAUCCCCUGAUAACUUAGUUGUUCUCUUUUACAGUCCUCACUGUGAUGGUUUCAGAUAUUCAAAUUCUUUAUCCUUCUCCCAGUGUAUCAGAUGACUCUAAACAGUCAGUGUGGUCCAAUAGGCCCUUUGCAGAAGGCUCUGCUUUUUUUUCUUUUCCUAAUGGGGGAAUUGCUUAGUAAGCAGGGCCUUCUGGGCUCAUAAAUAGAAAUACUGGAUGCAUGUCCUGUCUCUGUGCCUGUCUCCUUGCUGAUGGAAGGCCAUUUAAAUUUCUUUUUCCAUAAUUCUGACAGUGAGUGUUACUGAAUCUCCAUUGCCAAAGAUAUCUGAGAUCUGCCCAGCCCUCUGCUGUACCUCUGAGGCUAUGAUGCUGAACCUCCUAUCCCUGUGAUGUGACUUCAGUGCUUUCCUUUUGCAGAGGAGGGAGAAGGGCCUUUGGACACUUCUGGUCCCAUCACACCCAGUAAUCCUUCUACUUACCCAGCAUACUGUAAAUUUUUGUUAACAGUAAAGGCUCUGACAAAAGAGGAAUACAGAAGGUUAUACAAGAAAAAAAUGACCCAUCUAUAAAACUAUUUAUUUUUUAAGUUGAUCAAGAGAUCAGUUGUCAACUGUUCCUCUUACUCCUUCUUCCAGCUACUAGACACUCCUGCAAAUACUAUGUAAAACCAAUAAGCAAUUAAAUGCUGUAUGUUGCUAAAGAAUUGAUAUAUAUGUAUGUUUCAGUUCUGCAAUCUGUUCCUUUCCUAUGAAUCCAGGCAUGGUGAACAAAAUCAUAUAUAUUAAAAAAAUUACUAUAUUUUAAAAAUUCUAGAAGAAAUCACUUAAAUACAACUAUUUGAAGUGGAGCAAAGGAUGCCAGCUACAACAGGAGAUUGACUUUUUCUAGGUAUUCACGAAGUUAUGCUUUCUGCUGGUCUUACUUUGUUAAUUUUCCAUAACUCAAUUGUCCCACUACUUUUUGUGCUUGAUUGCUGAACAGCUUUUGGUCAUGGGCUUCUUUUGAUUAAACAGAUACAGCUGAAGUUCUCCCACUGCCUGAAUUCUUUAAUUGGAAAAGACUCAAGACAAAUAUGAGAGACCACCAGAUCCCUUCCUGUCAUCUGUAAGUAAUUUUCAAAGACUACAAUGCUGUAGGCAUGUCAAGUUUUCAGUAAUCUCAGGAGGAGAGAGGGAAUAUGCUAAACUAAAUACCAGGUAGUAUAUGUUACUUGUCCUGGGAGGCCAGCAUGCCAAUUGAACCAAAAUUAUGCUCUUCAUUGGAAAACUGCCUGCAGCUUUAAUCAGCUUUAGCUGAUUUUUUUUUUUUUUUCAGAGUACCAUAUUUACCAAGACGUAGGGCAACCCUGAAUGGAAGAUGGCCUCUCACUGUCUUAUCAGAUCCUAACUUCCUGGAAAAGUCUGAAGACAUCCUGCAGAUGUAAGGUCCUGAUUGCACUCAUAACCAUGUGAUUGCCUGAAUUUAGCUGUAGCUUUAGACUUCCAGCUUACAGGAAGUUUGUUGGGGGCCAUUCCCAAACAUUUCUCUUCACUCAGCCAAGCAGAACAUAAGCAGUGCUCUAAAAAUAAGAAAGCUGAUAUAAAAUUAUUUUGUUUGGACCUGUAUCCCAGUAUUGCACAUAGUUAAAGUGCUCAGAGCCACAUGAAAACACAGCUUUGAACCACAGGAGAAAAGUCAUGGCUCAAGGAUGUAUUACACAUAUGUGAGGACUACACGGAUGACUUGACAGCUUACAGUUGCUUGGGAGGAAUACGUUUCAGGAAGGCCAGGGCUGUAGAUCAUUGCCUGGCGUCUCUUCAGCUCUGUAAACUGUUCUCUCCAGGAUCAGGUUUCAGAAAGGAAUGCCGUCACGGGAGAUUUUACCCGAUGACUAAAACUGCUGACUUUCCAGUGCGAUGUUUAACCUCCCAUUCCACGCUCCACGCUUGCUUUAUUUACUAAUCCAGUCUGUAGCUGUGAUGUGGCAGAAGAAUGGGGAUAAACUAUGCCUUGAGAGCAUAUGUAUGAGUGGAGAAAGUACCACCAUCUCCCCAGCCAUUGUACUUGUAUAAGCCCAAA